rnacentral:rRNA from 1 species
GUGGGGAAUCUUGCGCAAUGGGCGAAAGCCUGACGCAGCCAUGCCGCGUGAAUGAUGAAGGUCUUAGGAUUGUAAAAUUCUUUCACCGGGGACGAUAAUGACGGUACCCGGAGAAGAAGCCCCGGCUAACUUCGUGCCAGCAGCCGCGGUAAUACGAAGGGGGCUAGCGUUGCUCGGAAUUACUGGGCGUAAAGGGCGCGUAGGCGGACAGUUUAGUCAGAGGUGAAAGCCCAGGGCUCAACCUUGGAAUUGCCUUUGAUACUGGGUGUCUUGAGUAUGGAAGAGGUAAGUGGAAUUCCGAGUGUAGAGGUGAAAUUCGUAGAUAUUCGGAGGAACACCAGUGGCGAAGGCGGCUCACUGGUCCAUUACUGACGCUGAGGUGCGAAAGCGUGGGGAGCAAACAGGAUUAGAAACCCGUGUAGUCC